GCAAAACGCGAAGAACCUUACCUAGGCUUGACAUGCAUCUCUAAGCGCGUGAAAGCGCGUGACCCUUCGGGGGAUUUGCACAGGUGCUGCAUGGCCGUCGUCAGCUCGUGUCGUGAGAUGUUGGGUUAAGUCCCGCAACGAGCGCAACCCUUGUGAACAGUUGCCAGCACUUAAGGUGGGAACUCUGUUCGGACUGCCCAGAUCAACUGGGAGGAAGGUGGGGACGACGUCAGGUCAGUAUGGCCCUUACGCCUAGGGCUGCACACGUACUACAAUGCCCAGCACAAUGAGAACCGAGACCGCGAGGUAGAGGAAAUCUAAAAAACUGGGCCCAGUUCGGAUUGGAGGCUGCAACUCGCCUCCAUGAAGUUGGAAUCGCUAGUAAUGGCGCAUCAGCUACGGCGCCGUGAAUACGUUCCCGGGUCUUGUACACACCG
rnacentral:rRNA from 1 species